AAAAAAUGCCAUGGAUUCAAGUGCCAGAUAAUCCUGCCUCUUUAAAUAAAGACAAGUUCUCUUUCUCAGGCCCUGUCACAUGGUUGCUAGGUGACAUGUAAACACUAGAGCUGAAUGAAAGACAGGAGAACUUCAAAGAAAUUCCAAAGGAUGAAAGGAGGGAAGCACUCUUUGAUGCUUUUUAGUCCUGGACAGUUCCCCGAUCUGUCUAGUCUGUUGGGGUAGAUUAAUAUAUCAGCUUUGCAUGAUUUUAAUAAAACAGCACAGCUGUAUGGAGAACGAAGGCCAGGUGUAGAAAUAAGAAAUACGGCUUUCUCCUCACUUGUACCUAUACUAGAGACCCAGCAAUUGUAUGAGGAAAGUAAGUAUAUUUCUAGGCUAACAAUGGUAUUUUAACAAUAUGUUUGUUGAUUUAUUUACUUGAGUAUUUAUAUUCUGCCUAUCAUUCAAAGGUUCCAGGGUGUUGAUCACAAACUGCUCCCAUAGUCUCACAUCAAGUUUUAUGCCAGUGGAAAACAACACUUUUGUGCUUACAAAUGCUGAGACCUUAUCAAGAGACAUGCGUCCAGUUUCUCUAACCCCUUUAUUAAAGGCUAUUCGAGAUGAACGUUACCAGAUGGGAAAGGAGC
rnacentral:lncRNA from 1 species